rnacentral:tRNA from 2 species
GGAGAGGUCGCAUAGUUGGCCUAGUGCGCUCGCUUGGAAAGCGAGUAUACCGAGAGGUAUCGCGGGUUCGAAUCCCGCCCUCUCCG